rnacentral:rRNA from 1 species
UACAGAGGGUGCAAGCGUUAAUCGGAAUUACUGGGCGUAAAGCGUGCGUAGCCGGUUAUGUAAGUCAGAUGUGAAAGCCCCGGGCUUAACCUGGGAAUGGCAUUUGAGACUGCAUAGCUAGGGUGCGGAAGAGGGAAGCGGAAUUUCCGGUGUAGCGGUGAAAUGCGUAGAUAUCGGAAGGAACACCAGUGGCGAAAGCGGCUUCCUGGUCCAGCACCGACGUUCAGGCACGAAAGCGUGGGGAGCAAACAGG